rnacentral:rRNA from 1 species
AACGAACGCUGGCGGCAGGCCUAACACAUGCAAGUCGAACGCUGUAGCAAUACAGAGUGGCAGACGGGUGAGUAACACGUGGGAACGUACCCUUCGGUUCGGAAUAACUCAGGGAAACUUGAGCUAAUACCGGAUACGUCCGAGAGGAGAAAGAUUUAUCGCCGAAGGAUCGGCCCGCGUCUGAUUAGCUUGUUGGUGAGGUAAUGGCUCACCAAGGCUACGAUCAGUAGCUGGUCUGAGAGGAUGAUCAGCCACACUGGGACUGAGACACGGCCCAGACUCCUACGGGAGGCAGCAGUGGGGAAUAUUGGACAAUGGGCGAAAGCCUGAUCCAGCCAUGCCGCGUGAGUGAUGAAGGCCCUAGGGUUGUAAAGCUCUUUUACUCGGGAAGAUAAUGACGGUACCGAGAGAAUAAGCCCCGGCUAACUUCGUGCCAGCAGCCACGGUAAAGUCUAGCAUG